rnacentral:rRNA from 1 species
GAUGAACGCUGGCGGCGUGCUUAACACAUGCAAGUCGAACGAAGCAUUUAGGACAGAUUACUUCGGUUUGAAGUUCUUUAUGACUGAGUGGCGGACGGGUGAGUAACGCGUGGGUAACCUGCCUUGUACUGGGGGAUAGCAGCUGGAAACGGCUGGUAAUACCGCAUAAGCGCACAAUGUUGCAUGACAUGGUGUGAAAAACUCCGGUGGUAUAAGAUGGACCCGCGUCUGAUUAGCUAGUUGGUGAGAUAACAGCCCACCAAGGCGACGAUCAGUAGCCGACCUGAGAGGGUGACCGGCCACAUUGGGACUGAGACACGGCCCAGACUCCUGCGGGAGGCAGCAGUGGGGAAUAUUGCACAAUGGAGGAAACUCUGAUGCAGCGACGCCGCGUGAGUGAAGAAGUAAUUCGUUAUGUAAAGCUCUAUCAGCAGGGAAGAUAGUGACGGUACCUGACUAAGAAGCUCCGGCUAAAUACGUG